AACACAUUUAAAAAUCUAUCUUUCUGUCCGUAUCAUUCAUUAAUUCAUUAGCUCUAAGACCAAGUUGAAUUGAUUUAAUCACAGGAACACGUGACCAUGAUUCACCAGAUGAUAAAUCCAAAUGGGAAUGCGUGAGGAAAGGGGUUUGCUGCAUUUGCUGCGAAAGCAAUAUUGAUUCUCUCUUGUACAGAUGUGGGCACAUGUGCACAUGUUCUAACUGUGCUAAUGAUUUGCACCGAAGUGGAAAGAAGUGUCCAAUGUGUCAAGCACUACUUGUUGAAGUAAUUCGUGCUUAUUCCAUACUAUAGUUUAGACAUUAAAAAGGGGUUACAUAUAGCCAAAAUUACAGAAUCUGCACAAGUUUUUAUUUCCUGGAGAUUUCCAUGUACCUUAAUUUUAAGUUGAUGUCCUUCUCCGUCCUUUUGCUUCUUGAUGUGAUUACCUGUAUUUAUGUCAACUUGUUAAGUGCAACAAUGGAACAGUUGAUGACAAUUUUUUGAGGGCCAUGCUUCUGAAAUAAAUAAAGUAAAUAUCGGUUUUGAUUUUGAGUGAUUGGAUUUCCUUCACUUGUUUUCAAAUUUUAUAGUACUUAUGAUGUAAAGUUGCAUUUUCCAUUGGUAGUGUGUAUAGCGUGGAGGUUUCUUGAUGAGCAGAGUUACUAAUUUCAUUUUCUUUGGGUUGAGGAGUCACUUCUUGAACUGGAAUAAUCCUCACAUUUUCUUCUCCCACAACCUCGUUACCUGUCUGAAUAUCAUUGUUGUUCCUUCUUGUUCUUUUGCUGCUGCUGCCCACAAUCGAAACUUGAACACUUUCUUGCACAACUUUCCUGGUGGAUAAUUGGAUUUGAUCACCACCUUCUGACCAUGCUUUGGACCCAUUCUUCCCUUCCCUUUCAAGCUUCUUUGCAGAUGUUGAUAGACAAACUAUGAAGGUUAAUGGAAUACUACAAAGUAGAACAAUUUUUGGCCAUAGUUCUUGGUUGGCCAUGAAUUGAUCUUAAUCUUCUGUUGGCAUAUAAAUUAAGUAUUCAACA